rnacentral:rRNA from 1 species
AAAUUGAAGAGUUUGAUCAUGGCUCAGAUUGAACGCUGGCGGCAGGCCUAACACAUGCAAGUCGAACGGUAACAGGAAGCAGCUUGCUGCUUUGCUGACGAGUGGCGGACGGGUGAGUAAUGUCUGGGAAACUGCCUGAUGGAGGGGGAUAACUACUGGAAACGGUGGCUAACUACUGGAAACGGUGGC